ACUGCUAUCGGAUUGAUACUAAGCCAUGCGAGUCUUUGUAGCAAUACAAGGCGGACGGCUCAGUAACACGUAGUCAAUCUAACCUAUGGACGAGGAUAACCUCGGGAAACUGAGAAUAAUACUCGAUAGAUCAUUAUCCCUGGAAUGGUUUAUGGUCCAAAUGAAUUUCGCCAUAGGGUGGGACUGCGGUCUAUCAGCUUGUUGGUGAGGUAAUGGCCCACCAAGGCUAUAACAGAUACGGGCUCUGAGAGGAGAGGCCCGGAGAUGGGUACUGAGACACGGACCCAGGCCCUAUGGGGCGCAGCAGGCGAGAAAACUUUGCAAUGUGCGAAAGCACGACAAGGUUAAUCCGAGUGGUUCCUGCUAAAGGAAUCUUUUGUUAGUCGUAACACCACUGAUGAAUAAGGGGUGGGCAAGUUCUGGUGUCAGCCGCCGCGGUAAAACCAGCACCUCAAGUGGUCAGGAGGAUUAUUGGGCCUAAAGCAUCCGUAGCCGGCUUUGUUAGUUUUCGGUUAAAUCUAUAUGCUCAACAUAUGGGCUGCCGGGAAUACUGCAAAGCUAGGGAGUGGGAGAGGUAGACGGUACUCCGUAGGAAGGGGUAAAAUCCUUUGAUCUAUGGAUGACCACCUGUGGCGAAGGCGGUCUACCAGAACACGUCCGACGGUGAGGGAUGAAAGCUGGGGGAGCAAACCGGAUUAGAUACCCGGGUAGUCCCAGCUGUAAACUAUGCAAACUCAGUGAUGCAUUGGCUUGUGGCCAGUGCAGUGCCGCAGGGAAGCCGUUAAGUUUGCCGCCUGGGAAGUACGUACGCAAGUAUGAAACUUAAAGGAAUUGGCGGGGGAGCACCACAAGGGGUGAAG
rnacentral:rRNA from 1 species